GGGGAUGACCCCUGACCUUUGACCUCCGCCCCCCAGGGGGGAGGUGACCCUGCGCUGGGUGGGGGAGGGGGGGGAGGAGCUGGAGCGGCUCCGGUUGGACCCCGACGCCUUCUGUGCCUGGAGCGCCCCCGGCACGGCCACGGGGGGCCUCGUGUACGGGCACUACGGGCGACCCCAGGACCUGGCCCAGCUCCGGACACGGGGGGUGACGGUCCGGGGGCAGAUCCUGCUCCUGAGGCUGGGGAGGGGGACCCCAGGUGAACAGGUGAGACCCCCCAAAAUACCCCAAAAACACCCCAAAUACCCCAAAAUAUCCCAAAUACCCAAAUCCUGCUCCUGAGGCUGGGCAGGGGCACCCCAAAUGAGCAGGUGAGACCCCAAAAACACCCCAAAUACCCCAAAAUACCCCAAAUACCCAAAUCCUGCUCCUGAGGCUGGGCAGGGGGACCCCAAAUGAGCAGGUGAGACCCCAAAAACACCCCAAAACCACCCCAAAUACCCCAAAAUACCCCAAAUACCCCAA